GAGUCAGGAAAGGAGGCAGAUAAAAGGAACACCUUGCUUGCCACACUUCUGUGAAGUUGACGUACCUAGCAAGCAGAACUGGACCCCUUUUUUGCUGCCUUGUACCUUAUUGCUGGUAACCUGUGCCUGCUCCUACAACCUUGGACCCAGAUCCUGCACCUGUUCCCCAGUCCUUGAAUGGGACCCUUGAACCUUCCUUGUCCUGACCUUGGACUGGACCUGUGAUUGCUGACUCCAGACUGAAUGAAUUUGCAAGAUUGCUUGGAAUCUGAACAUUUUUCCCCACCUCAUGGAUUGCCACCCAAACCUACCCAAGUGCACAGGGUCAACAGCUGUUGGAUCCAAUUAAGGGGAAAACAACAUUUGAAACAAUAAAUAUGUCAAAAUAGGG